UACGUAGGGUGCAAGCGUUGUCCGGAAUUAUUGGGCGUAAAGAGCUCGUAGGCGGUUUGUCGCGUCGGGAGUGAAAACCAGGUGCUUAACACCUGGCUUGCUUUCGAUACGGGCAGACUAGAGGUAUUCAGGGGAGAACGGAAUUCCUGGUGUAGCGGUGAAAUGACGCAGAGUAUCAGGAGGAACACCGGUGGCGAAGGCGGUUCUCUGGGAAUGACCUGACGCUGAGGAGCGAAAAGUGUGGGGAGCGAACAGG
rnacentral:rRNA from 1 species